UUUGAGGGGAGAUAUGAUCUUGUUAAGUUCAUCAAGUUGGUAGAAAAAGCAGGACUUUAUGUCAAUCUACGUAUUGGCACUUACAUUUGUGCAGAAUGGAACUUUGGGGGAUUCCCUGUUUGGCUAAAAUAUAUUCCUGGUAUGGAAUUUAGAACAGACAAUCAGCCUUUCAAGGUGGCUAUGCAAGGAUUUU